ensembl:lncRNA
UGCAAUAAUACAUUAAUUCAAGAGCCACUAGAAAUAUUUUCAAGGGAUUAAUGUUAAUUGAGAAACAAGUUAUCGUGCUACAAAAUCUAUAGAAUUUCAAGUGUUUUAGGAUCAUUGCUCCCUUUGAAGAGGACCCGACCCCCCCAGAGGCCUUGCUAUCACUGCCAUGGCAGACUUUUAAAGUUUGUUUCCUCGAGGAAUAAAUUGUAACCUAAGGGGUUUCUCUAAAGUUGUAGCUGCUGAGUUUAUCUCUCACUGACAUAAAUGUCAGUGAUAGUCUUUAUUGGCCUAUCGCAGUCCUUCUUAUCAUCAGUGUAAAAUUACUGUAGGUUCGUUAACACUUCAGUGCAUGAUUAAAUCUAUGCAGUGGGUUGAAAGUAUAGUAUUUUUUUUAAUUGGUCCUAUUCUAUAAAAUCCAUAAUUGCUUAAUCUGUUCCAAUAUUUAAAGCAGUUCUCCAAUUCACAUGUGGUCUUCAUUUGCAAAGAGGCAACUUGCACAUGCGAUUUGUAGAACUGUAUUUUUCAGAUGUGCUUCUUUUUCACGUGUGCACUGAUAUGGGAUUUCUGAUAUCCAUAGUCUGGCUGUAAAUACAUGUUAGAAAAUCUUUGGCACAUAUUAAAGUAUUGAAGUGACUGACAUGUUGUUGUAGUAUGACUAUCAUCACUUCUAGUUGGUAAUUUCAGUGCCAUUCCUACUAGAAAAAGUCUUGUCUUUAUUAAGACAAGGAUGGCUGAAACAGUUACAUAAUAGUAUGUGAUGUGGUAUAUUUCUGUGUUGACUUUUGGAAGCACAAAUGUCUCAGGACACACCUCAGGAGUGGUGUGUGCUACAGAUGGGGGUGAGUUUUUGUAUCUUUUUUCCUUUUACUUAGUGGGUUCUAUCCUUACAGUGUGCUACCUAUAUUUCUUCUUAACCAUUUUAAAGAAGUAAUGAUCUUCUGAACUCAGAACACAAGCAAAAUUUCUGAUGUCUAAAUAAUUUUCUAAAUUAUUUAGAAGGCUGAAACCAAAUAGUAGGAAAAGGGCUGUAGUAAAGAAGGGCUGAUUCUCAUACCAGUGCCACUGCAACCCAAGAAAACCCACUGUAACAGCAGUAUCGAGAUUGGCAUAUGCUAUGGGAAUAACUGCUCAAGAACAUCAGUAUGAGAGCACCAUGGGAAGAAUACUGCCAUGGAGGCUGUGAAAAUCAUUGUUGUGGCAGGUCUGAGGACAAAUACAGAGCUGCAAGCAGUAGGGCAAGUAAGAGAGUUGAAUGUAGAAAGGCUUUUUGCAAUACAACCAAAAUACUGCCCACCAUCAUCAGCCAUUGUAUCAUGAAGGUAAAAUAUUCUGAAGAGGGUUUUUUGUUUAGUUUUAGGUUUUUGGUGUUCUUUUUUUUUUUUUUUUUUUUUUUUGUGAAAGUGUUCAUAAGAAGUUGUUACUUUUUUUUAUGAUAACCAUCUCAAAA